UCUCCGUUGGUGAACCAGCGGAGGGAUCAUUACCAGAGUGCCCUAGGCUCUCCAACCCAUUGUGAACAUACCUAUCGUUCCCUCGGCGGGCUCAGCGCGCGGUGCCUCCGGGCUCCGGGCGUCCGCCGGGGACAACCAAACCCUGAUUUUAUCGUGUAUCUCUGAGGGGCGAAAGCCCGAAAACAAAAUAAAUCAAAACUUUCAACAACGGAUCUCUUGGCUCUG
rnacentral:misc_RNA from 1 species